rnacentral:rRNA from 1 species
ACCAGACUCCUACGGGAGGCAGCAGUGGGGAAUAUUGGGCAAUGGGCGCAAGCCUGACCCAGCAACGCCGCGUGAAGGAAGAAGGCUUUCGGGUUGUAAACUUCUUUUCUCAGGGACGAAGCAAGUGACGGUACCUGAGGAAUAAGCCACGGCUAACUACGUGCCAGCAGCCGCGGUAAUACGUAGGUGGCAAGCGUUAUCCGGAUUUACUGGGUGUAAAGGGCGUGUAGGCGGGAAAGCAAGUCAGAUGUGAAAACCAUGGGCUCAACCUGUGGCCUGCAUUUGAAACUGUUUUUCUUGAGUACUGGAGAGGCAGGCGGAAUUCCUAGUGUAGCGGUGAAAUGCGUAGAUAUUAGGAGGAACACCAGUGGCGAAGGCGGCCUGCUGGGCUUUAACUGACGCUGAGGCUCGAAAGCGUGGGGAGCAAACAGGAUUAGAUACCCUGGUAUA